rnacentral:lncRNA from 12 species
CAGGACAGAGUGAAUCCCUGUGGGUGCAGGAUGGGAUCAAUCCCUGUGUGAGCAGGAUGGGAUGAAUCCCUGUGUGAGCAGGAUGGGAUCAAUCCCUGUGUGUGCAGGACAGAGUGAAUCCCUGUGGGUGCAGGAUGGGAUCAAUCCCUGUGUGAGCAGGAUGGGAUGAAUCCCUGUGUGAGCAGGAUGGGAUCAAUCCCUGUGUGUGCAGGACAGAGUGAAUCCCUGUGGGUGCAGGAUGGGAUCAAUCCCUGUGUGAGCAGGAUGGGAUGAAUCCCUGUGUGAGCAGGAUGGGAUCAAUCCCUGUGUGUGCAGGACAGAGUGAAUCCCUGUGGGUGCAGGAUGGGAUCAAUCCCUGUGUGAGCAGGAUGGGAUGAAUCCCUGUGUGAGCAGGAUGGGAUCAAUCCCUGUGUGUGCAGGACAGAGUGAAUCCCUGUGGGUGCAGGAUGGGAUCAAUCCCUGUGUGAGCAGGAUGGGAUGAAUCCCUGUGUGAGCAGGAUGGGAUCAAUCCCUGUGUGUGCAGGACAGAGUGAAUCCCUGUGGGUGCAGGAUGGGAUCAAUCCCUGUGUGAGCAGGAUGGGAUCAAUCCCUGUGUGUGCAGGACAGAGUGAAUCCCUGUGUGUGCAGGAUGGGAUGUGCCUCUCCUGCUCCCACAAAAGCAGAGCAGGGGGACGAGCCAGCCUCUGCCAAGCACCGCAGCACUGUGGAACUGGGAGCAGGGAGCCACAGCUCAGAGAGGAGCCCCAGAAGAGCCCUCUCCUGCCCACAGGCUGCCCUGAAAUCACUCCCUUCCCCUCCUGGUGCUGCCAGCCCCCAGCUCCCAUCCCUGCAGCCAGCACAGCCCCAAGCUGUACUGUGUCAGCCCCAUCCUCCCCCCGGAGCAGCUGCCACAGCCUUAUCAGCCCUGGGCAGGCACAGCCCUGCCCUGUGCUGGGGCUAUCGGGGCUCACACACCCUGCUGGGCUGGGACAAACACUUUUCUGCCCAGUACCAGCAGCUCACAGCCCGGCCAGGGCUUUGCUGUGCCCGCACAGGAACCUCCCACCUGCACCCACAGGGACUCGCUGGCCCUGCACAGCUCCCCCUUCUCAGGCACUCGGCAAUUCCCCACCCAGAUGGAAAAAUAUGUUAAACAAACUGUACCUUGCAAAGGGUCUGCAGCCACAAAGGGAAUUUCUCUGUUUCUUCUGCCUUCUCCUCCUGCCUCCACUGACAGAGGUCAGAGCCCUUCCCAGCUUUGGCCAACAUCACAAAGAACCCAGCAGUUCCCAAAGUGUUUUCAUGGAGACAACCCCAGAGCCACACGGGCAGUGUCACAUCUCGAAGGGUUUUUUUCAGCCUCCUUUGCACAGCUUUGAGUGAAUUCCAAGAAUACCACGGAUUCCAAGAAUUCCAACCUCAGUGUUUGUCCUCAAGGACAAGGCACUGAGCCUGCAGCCUGACCCACCUGAGGACUUCUUGGAUAAAAGCCCCUUGAGCACAG